CUAUUCAUUUCAGCAACAUAUCUACUAUAAUUGGAAUGAUAUAGAAAAGAUUAGCAUACCUGUUGUGCAAGAAUGACCUGUGAAUAUGAGGUGUUCCACAUUUUG